UAGCAUGUCAGUGUUAGAUUUCCAUCUCAUUAUGUCAUAUUCUUACCCAAAUGUUCAUAACUUUUGAUUUUCACAAGCUCAUCUACAUCAAAAAGAGAAUGUAAUUAAAAGAUUACAAAAA
rfam:Populus trichocarpa scaffold_1_contig_467, whole genome shotgun sequence.